rnacentral:lncRNA from 1 species
ACACCGUUAAAAAUUUAACGGGGUAUUUUUACAACUCGUUAUAAAUUUGUAUAAAUUGCUUAGAGAUAUUCGAUCCGAUAAUCCUGGAAAGAACUCUAAAUUUCUAUCAGUCUUCAAUUAAAUUUCCAAUAGCAAUUCGGAUACAAUUCUCGUAUUAAUCAUAUUAUAUGGUAAAAGUCCACAAAAGGACUUGUUGGAGAUCUUAUAAAUGUGUUUUUCUUUGUGGUUUUGUGUCAACAGUCGCAAUAACUACCAUCCUGAUCCAUCCUGUCCUCAACAAUCUUAUGAUUUCGGAACUCUCCCCUUACAAAAUUGAGAUGUAUGCGAUGAAAACACGCAACCUUGCAGCUGCAAAGAUAGGAAUGCAGUCUGCAG